rnacentral:lncRNA from 1 species
UAAAAUUAAACUUCUAAGAUGUGGAGAGUUAUUUCUAGCAAAAUAAAUUAUAAAAUGCAAAAUCUCAACUUCUAAUUACCAGUUUAUUUAAUAGUGUUACUUUUACAAAAAAAUUAAGUGAGAUGAGGACAUAUAUAGAAUUUGAGGCACAAGAAAAGGAAAAACUGCAAAUUAAAUUAAAGCGUCAAAGCGAUCCUUAAUUUCUUCUUCCGGAUACAUUUCAAAGAGAGAGAACUCGUCUUCUAAGUUAAAGGACAUAUUAGCAAGGCCAUCUUCACCAAAAAAAUUCUUCCGCCCAUUCAAGAUCCAUCCUUUGACGAAAUUGUUGAACCAACCUAUGCCCCAUGACAUUUCCACCACCUACAUUUUGGAUGUGGAGAUGACAACUGAUGAAUCCACGCACACCUCUAUCUUAGCGAACCCUUAAUCUCCGGCCAGCUUUAAACCUUCAAGCACGCCCCAUAACAUAACUCUGCAACAAUGACAUUGCACCUCCCAAUAUAUUUUGAGAACUCUCCUAACCAUUCCCUGUCCACACAUCUAAUAGUCAGAGUUUUUCUAGAAUCAAACAACAGGGAUUUGUUUUAGCUAACCAUUCAUUGUUAAAAUGAUCAACAAAAAAGUAGAACUAUUGGAUUUUCAAAGAGACCAUUCUAUUUGUACGGCUAUGAUAAGAACUCAUUUAUGUGUCCAUCAAAACCAGCAACAAAUAAAAGUGUUAUUGAUGAAGAUUGUUUUGUUAUCAUGAAGUUGGUAAUUAAGAAAAUAGAUAUGUUGUUGUGACUACAAAAUAGCAAAUCAGCAUAGCAUCAUUCAUCAAUUUGGUGAAAAGAGAAAUAUUACCAAUCACUAACCGAAAGUAAUUCUUUAAAAUUGGAGAAUUUUUCAUGUUGGAGUCAUUAGCCUGAAAAUUGACAUAAAAAUUAUGAGUAACUCAGCUACAUAAAUUCAAAUCAUGUUUGUUUUACUUAAAAUAAAUCCAUAAAAAAUAAUUUCAACUCCACAUAAUUUUGAUAUAAAAAAAAAAAAAUAGAGAAAAGGGAGUUGAACAAACACACCUAAAUCUAUGCCUAAAGGCAGUAUGGAAGUUUUUCCAUUGAUUCGAAUAACAAAUAUAUA